rnacentral:rRNA from 1 species
AUUGAACGCUGGCGGCAGGCUUAACACAUGCAAGUCGAGCGAGCGGCGGACGGGUGAGUAAGGUCUGGGAAACUGCCUGAUGGAGGGGGAUAACUACGGGAAACGGUAGCUAAUACCGCAUAACACCAGAUGUGCCCAGAUGGGAUUAGCUAGUAGGUGGGGUAAUGGCUCACCUAGGCGACGAUCCCUAGCUGGUCUGAGAGGAUGACCAGCCACCCUGGAACCGAUCCACGGUCCAGCCUCCGACGGGAGGCAGCAGUGGGGAAUAUUGCACAAUGGGCGCAAGCCUGAUGCAGCCAUGCCGCGUGUGUGAAGAAGGCCUUCGGGUUGUAAAGCACUUUCAGCGAGGAGGCGUUACUCGCAGAAGAAGCACCGGCUAACUCCGUGCCAGCAGCCGCGGUAAUAC